GCGGGGCUGGCUGGACCGGAGCAGCUCAGGCCACUGGCAGGGGAUCUGGGGACCCGCAGAGCGUUGGGGAGCCGCUUGGGUCGGGUGUUCCCUCAACGAGAGGUUGUGCCUGGGGAGCGGUCCGUGAGCCCAGCCGGAGCUUCCCAGCACAGCCCUUCCAAGGCAGCCCCUCUGCAGGAGGGAAGUUUGCUGCCGGUGGGACCGGUGUGUGCCGCAGUGCCAAAUCACCAUUUGGCUAUCGCCCCUUCUACGCAGAGCGAGCAUAGUGCAGUUCAGUUCCCUUCCGAUUUGUUCAGAGCUGCCGGAUAGCUGAAAAAAAAGUAGAAAUGCUUUAUUUUUUGAGGUAAAAUCUUGAGAUCUGAAAGAUGACAUCUACAGGUUUGAAUAUGUUGAAAGGAAUGUCAUCCAGCAACACUUAGUGCAGGCCUUUGUCACGGGAUGUGAAAAUACAACACUGCAGCUAGAUGCAGGGAUCCUGCUAGGGGUAUCACUCAUCUCCCCCAGAUUUCUUCUUAGUGUGAUAUCAAGGAAUGUGAGCAACUAUCUGUCGUGGUGAGCAGGAGCUGUGUUCUGGCUGGCUCUUCAGUACUUGGCUCCUAGCGAAGUAGAUGGCUGCAGAGAAGACAUAGAGCAAGUAGAGGACAUUACCCAGAGCGCUGAGCAGAGAUCUGGACUGUAGAAUCCAUCCUGCAGCACUGUGAGUCUGGAGCUAAACUAAGACAGAGGUUAUAGAACCUCCAUCCUCAAAGAUACUCAAACUCAGCUUAGAGGAAUGUGUCCCAAGUUGGCCUUCUGAGGAAGCAAUUGGACCAGAGACCUUCAGAGAUCCUCUCCAAUGUGAAUUAUUCUGUGGUUCUAUACCUUAAUGUGGUAACAUUGUGAUAUCACCAUUAGUGUAUUUACUACUUCAGAUGGCAUCCACAUACACAUCCUGCAGUCAGAGGUUUUCUCUAGAGUAAUGACAUUGUCAAGUUCAGAGAACACUCUGUGCUACCCUAAGGAAACUGAAGGCUGCCACUGUCUGAAUUUAAACUUAUUGAAAUGAACCUUCGAAGAAAACUUUACUUUUUUUGAAUUUGUUUACUUUAGGUGGAAGAUGUUUUGUUCUACUUCAGUUAACAUUAAAAAUGUGGAUCCUAGUGUCAACAGAAGACCUAACAUGGACUAGGCAUUAUUUUUGCUGAACAGUCCAUGGGCUUUUAUGUAAUUGGGAACUUUUUGGAGUUCUACUGUAAUUCCUUCUAAUGAAAUGGCUGGAUGGUUUUAUUAAGAUUUAAAACUCAUCU